AGCGAACGGACGAGGAGCUUGCUUCUCUGAUGUUAGCGGCGGACGGGUGAGUAACACGUGGAUAACCUACCUAUAAGACUGGGAUAACUUCGGGAAACCGGAGCUAAUACCGGAUAAUAUUUUGAACCGCAUGGUUCAAAAGUGAAAGACGGUCUUGCUGUCACUUAUAGAUGGAUCCGCGCUGCAAUUAGCUAGUUGGUAAGGUAACGGCUUACCAAGGCAACGAUGCAUAGCCGACCUGAGAGGGUGAUCGGCCACACUGGAACUGAGACACGGUCCAGACUCCUACGGGAGGCAGCAGCAGGGAAUCUUCCGCAAUGGGCGAAAGCCUGACGGAGCAACGCCGCGUGAGUGAUGAAGGUCUUCGGAUCGUAAAACUCUGUUAUUAGGGAGGAACAUAUGUGUAAGUAACUGUGCACAUCUUGACGGUACCUAAUCAGAAAGCCACGGCUAACUACGUGCCAGCAGCCGCGGUAAUACGUAGGUGGCAAGCGUUAUCCGGAAUUAUUGGGCGUAAAGCGCGCGUAGGCGGUUUUUUAAGUCUGAUGUGAAAGCCCACGGCUCAACCGUGGAGGGUCAUUGGAAACUGGAAAACUUGAGUGCAGAAGAGGAAAGUGGAAUUCCAUGUGUAGCGGUGAAAUGCGCAGAGAUAUGGAGGAACACCAGUGGCGAAGGCG
rnacentral:rRNA from 1 species